rnacentral:rRNA from 1 species
UACGGGGGGGGCAAGCGUUGUUCGGAAUUACUGGGCGUAAAGGGCCCGUAGGCGGCCCACUAAGUCCGACGUGAAAUCCCCAGGCUUAACUUGGGAACUGCGUCGGAUACUGGUGGGCUUGAAUCCGGGAGAGGGAUGCGGAAUUCCAGGUGUAGCGGUGAAAUGCGUAGAUAUCUGGAGGAACACCGGUGGCGAAGGCGGCAUCCUGGACCGGCAUUGACGCUGAGUGAGCGAAAGCCAGGGGAGCAAACGGG